rnacentral:lncRNA from 1 species
AACACAAUUAUCCGUGGUUUCUUUUACAUGCCUUGAACUAUUUUGCAGUGAUGCGGCUGUUGUGUCCAGUGAGCCAGGUUCCAUCCUGAAAUUAUCAUAAAAAUGUGUCUAAAGAUUUUAUUUCUAAAUAUGAGUGCCGUGCGGAGUCAGGGGCGUCUCUGGAAUUAGGAGACCAGGAAAUGCGGGAGCAGCGCACGAACACCGGGGCCGCAUCCAUUCCCAUGAAACGAGUCAUGCUUUCGAUCACAUGGGAAUCCGGAACCCAGGCUUCUAACGCAUCAGUGGGAAGAGCCGGCCAAUUAUAUUACGUGACAAUUUCAUUGUAACCUUUGACCUGUAGUUCGGCUCUUACCCCUGUCAGAUUAUUUUAGUUCCCUUUUGCAGUUUUAUUUCUUCACCCAACAACAAUUCUUUGGUGUCUAUUACGCGCAGGCGUUGUCUCGGCCCUGAGGAUACAGCAUGAGGGUAAGGUCGGGGAUUGGAAGGGAUCCUGCAUCAACGUGUCCUUGACUUUGUGGCAGCAGACUUCCUUCCCAGUUUCUGAAUUAUGUUUGUCAGCCGUCUUGUUUCACCCGCCUGGUACCUCGCGUCAACACCAUUUUCUACUCAAAUCUGCACUGCCCUUCCAGGGUCUCCGCGAACUUGGAAACCCAUGUUUCAGAAGCUCCUUGUGUGGGGCAUCCUUCCGGGUGGAAAUCUUGGACCUAGCUUCACUUUCUCCUCUUUUGCUCUUUAUUCAGCAGCCACAGUCUCAUUUCCUCCCCAGCUUUUCUAAGCUGCAUUUUCCCCCUCGGUUCCAAGUUUCAAGGCCCCGGUUGGCUUCCCUUUCCCCCCAACCCCUCCUCUCAGUCUCCCAGCAGUUCAUGUGGUGCUUCCUAGUCCCUCGCGUCGGUGUCUCCCCUUAAUGCCAGCCUGUCCUGGGCUAGAAGGGCUGAGGGGUGGAACGUGGCGGAAGGAGCUCAGACUGUUGCCUUUCCUUGCAGUUGUUUUGAGAAUUUAGAUAUGGCAGGACUUUAAACUGUGAUGACUCAUAGACAUUCUCUUCAUAUGCCAACGAGUAAGUGUGCGGGUCAGCUAUCAGUACUUAGCGUCUUCCUCGUUCUCUAGGAUGCAAAGUUCCAGUGAAAACGAAGUCACCCACGCGUGAGCACACAAAGGUCUUGCUAAAACGAUCAUGCUGAAGUCACUAGGGACAAUUAAAAGAAAUUAAGAGCUCUUGAGGAGACUGAAGAACAAUGCUAUGUGAUUCUUGAAUCAAACUCCAUAUUCUCCUGGAAAUCCCUUCGACAUCUUUUGAAUAACAAUGGUGCUUUCAAAGUUGGAAGGAAAUAUGCCUGUAAUUGUUUCUCAAACAUUAUGGUGUUUGUGGAGUUUCCGGGCCCGUUUUCCAACCUGCUCUUGUCCAUGUUACUAUUGGUACACAAGUCACAAAGAGAUGAAACAGGGACAUGGAUGUGUAAUUGAAAGAAUUAAUGGGGAUAUGUAUGGAAACACAUGGAUAACUUAAUAUUUGGAAUAAUCUGCCAUUUCAGUGACUCGUGUUUUUUUUUAGUAAGCUCCAUUACUGCUGAUUAUUAAGCAUUGGUUCAAAUAAUAAGUGAUAGAAUAGCACCAGAGCAAUCAAGUAGUCCCUCUUGACUCGCAGUGUGGUUCUGUGUAACUAAUUUUCCACUCACUAUUUUCUUGUCACCUUGA